GAUGAACGCUGGCGGCGUGCUUAAUACAUGCAAGUCGAACGAAGAGCUUUUGUAGCAAUACGGAGGCUCUUAGUGGCGAACGGGUGCGUAACGCGUUGGUGACCUGCCCCGAAGUGUGGGAUAACAGUUCGAAAGGACUGCUAAUACCGCAUGUGAUCAUCAGUCUUAGAAUCUGUUGAUUAAAGCAGUAAUGCGCUUCGGGAGGGACCUGCGUCCCAUCAGCUAGUUGGUGAGGUAAUGGCCCACCAAGGCUACGACGGGUAGGGGACCUGAGAGGGUGACCCCCACAAUGGAACUGAAACACGGUCCAUACACCUACGGGAGGCAG
rnacentral:rRNA from 1 species